GCAGCCGCGGUAAUACGUAGGGGGCAAGCGUUAUCCGGAAUUAUUGGGCGUAAAGAGUGCGUAGGUGGUUACCUAAGCAGGGGGUGAAAGGCAGUGGCUCAACCAUUGUUAGCCCCCUGAACUGGGCUACUUGAGUGCAGGAGAGGAAAGCGGAAUUCCUAGUGUAGCGGUGAAAUGCGUAGAUAUUAGGAGGAACACCAGUGGCGAAGGCGGCUUUCUGGACUGUAACUGACACUGAGGCACGAAAGUGUGGGGAGCAAACAGGAUUAGAUACCCC
rnacentral:rRNA from 1 species